rnacentral:lncRNA from 1 species
GUCCUCCCCAAGGCCAUUCACUCACUCUGUCCCUGAGCUCAUGGCCAGGCUGACUGGGGAGGGUGUUUAAGGCACAGACAGGCCCUGAAGUCCCACCCAUUCUACUGCUGGCUCAGCUCACAUUACCUCCUAUUUGGACUUGUUUGCUGCUCACAGUCAAGUUCUCCAAGACCAGGAUUGCUGGCUCUCAGUUUCUAGAACAACCACAGUGGAAGAUGCUGAUUCAUACUUGCUGGCCUGGAACCGAAACCAGCUGUCUGUCCCUUGUCUGCUGUAAGGAAGAUGCUGUGCUAAUCUCAGGCUCUUCUGCUGUUACAAGAUCUCCUCUCCCCAUAACGAGCUGGAAACCAGAAGUGAAGUUACAUCUGGUGCAUUUUCCAAGAGGAGCCUUGUGCUGUGUGUGGCUGCUGUAUUCUACAUAAAGAGCUGCUUUUCCAACAACCAUGUGGAGACUGAAUAAGGGUUUGAAGGAUAAUCAAGGCUGAGGCCAUGUUCUCCAUCUGCUGAAGCUUUUGGUCACUCAGCCUUCUAGAGGCAGUUACUGUUAAGCCAAGAUCUCAAGCUUCCAGGUCCCAUUCUUGGGUCCUUCCUUAGGUUCAUUGCUUGGAGUUGGUUUUCUCAAUAAAGGAACUUGAACAUUAUUUAAGUUUUGGGCCUUCCAAAAUCUAAAUCAGCCUCACUUUCAGACAGAAAGUUUUCUUUUUGUCACUUGCCUUCUUCCAGCCACAGAUAAAACGGGAGGCGAACAGGUUGUUAUGUGUUACUGCUAGGUCGCUUGGUUGGAGUUCUAUAAACAUAGUACUGAGAAGAGUUCUGAAGGACUGCUGCUAUUCAGAUUGAUUAAUAAUGUCUGCCUUGGUUGAAGGCAGAGGUAGGCCAUCUUAGUAGUCAAGUAUUUAUGUGCUGGACAGUCAUAGAUGGUGUUCUAGUUUGCUUUCUAUUGCUUUGAACACAAUCAUCAAAGCAACUUGGAAGUGUUAUUUCGUUUACAGAUCUGGAUCACAGUUAGUCAUUGAAAAAAGUCAGAGCAAGA